rnacentral:lncRNA from 1 species
ACGCCGACGCCGCCGCUCCCUGCCAGCACAAAAGAUUCGCCGCCGUUGCUCUCUGUGAUCGCGACAAAAUUAACCGAAUUGCUUGCAAGCAACAGUACUCUAACGCCAGGCGCGCCUCAUGAUCGCGUUCCUCGUGCGCAAACGGCCUGCUGCGCAGCGGGUGCCACGCUGGCACGCCGCCUAGUUACCGCGCGCGUCGCGCUCAGCUCGUCCCCGGCGGCAGAGCCAGAGCUGCCUCUGA